UGGGGAAUUUUGGACAAUGGGCGCAAGCCUGAUCCAGCCAUGCCGCGUGCAGGAUGAAGGCCUUCGGGUUGUAAACUGCUUUUGUACGGAACGAAAAGGUGCCUUCUAAUAAAGGGCGCUCAUGACGGUACCGUAAGAAUAAGCACCGGCUAACUACGUGCCAGCAGCCGCGGUAAUACGUAGGGUGCGAGCGUUAAUCGGAAUUACUGGGCGUAAAGCGUGCGCAGGCGGUUUCGUAAGACAGAGGUGAAAUCCCCGGGCUCAACCUGGGAACUGCCUUUGUGACUGCAAGGCUGGAGUGCGGCAGAGGGGGAUGGAAUUCCGCGUGUAGCAGUGAAAUGCGUAGAUAUGCGGAGGAACACCGAUGGCGAAGGCAAUCCCCUGGGCCUGCACUGACGCUCAUGCACGAAAGCGUGGGGAGCAAACA
rnacentral:rRNA from 1 species